CGUGCGGGAGACUAGGAGGCCCAAGCCGGGAACCCAGGGGACUUGACGUUCUGCUGGCUUUUAAGUGAGUUUGGAGGAAAAAUUCCCAGCCCCUCCCACGGGUUCGCCCAGACUCCUGGGCCAUCGGCCCCGGGCGUAACAACGCGCACAUCUGGACGCCCAGGAGCCACAUCUGGAGCGGUAACCCCUGCACCCAGAUGUUCAAGGGGCGGGCAGUUGAAAGCAUGGAGGCGGGGCUCCCGGGCUGAGGUUCCUCCCUCACGCAGCCGGGCUCCAGAUGCUAGAGGCGCCCCGCCCCCGGCCGUUGUUGGGUCUGCCAGGGGACGUGUGGGAGAAGGAAGAGCUACAAGCGCCCUCCGGGCUUUCUGCAAAACCUGGGGCUAGUCUGGAGAAGUCUGCGCUGGGCGGGCCUGUGCGCCCCUCCUCCAUUUGUUUGCGCUCAGGAGUUUUGAAGUCUCGCUAAGCAACUGUGUUUGCCAAGGAGUCGGUGCAGUUCCGAAGAGCUUGCGUCUAUUGGAUGCUCCGAUCUGAACAAAUCUUUUCCAUUCCAUUUGUUUAACCAAAGCAAAGGAAGAGUGUGUUCCUACUUAAAAAUUGUCCUUCAUCCAAGUUGUCCUCGGAUUUUUAUCUAAGAGUGUCAUAACACCCCAGGUCGUUGCGCAAAUGUUUUGUGACAAUUUGGAAAACCACAGGCGACUUCCUAAAAGAAAAAAAUCACAACUGAAAGGAAAAUGAUCUUUAAAAAAAAAAAAAAAAAAAAAAAAAGGUCCUUUUUCAUGUGUGGGCCUAACUAGGCUUCUUGUGGCAAAUCUCUCCCAUGAGGAAUGAAGUGGGUGAAAGGGCCCUCUGGUUCCACCUUAUUCACCAGCUGAAACUCUGAACAAACCUUAGCAGAGUCCUCUCCUAAAGGUCACCGGGCUUCCCUGAGAAUAAGAAAUAAAAUAAAAUAAAGCAAACAAAAAACCAGGGUAUUAAGUACUUGAAGUAAGUGCUCAAAUAUUGGUUCUGCCAUUGCUCACCUCUGUGAACUGCGGCAAAUUGCUCAACCUCUUGAUGCCUUGUUCCUGCC
rnacentral:lncRNA from 1 species